UUCUCCUACCAUCGCCCAUAUACUAGAAUUUCUCUACUCUCUAUUCCCAUAUUAUCACCAUUGUUAUCUUACCUUUAAUAUUGUUCUUAUUCAAUUCGACCAUCUUUCCUAUUUACACCUAUCUAUCUAUCUUGGUUAAGUUAGAGCGUAGAUCAAUUCUCCCGUUUCCCUAUGGAUACGAUAAAACCUUUAACUGGGUAAAAGCUACAACGGUAUCCGUGC
rnacentral:lncRNA from 1 species